UAACUUUCAGAAAUGUCACAGG
rnacentral:siRNA from 1 species